GGCACAGGCGGGGGUAGCACGGGGCAGCUUCCGACCUGCACCGAGGCCCAGGCUGCCCCCUGCAGGAGGCACCCCUGUCCCACGUGUGCAUUGCACUAGAUACAGGGCGUGCUGUGUCUCACCAGGAUCAGCUGGUCUGUUGCAGGGAACUAGUUAAGAAGACUUCUGUGUAAAAAGGAAAUAGGAAAAAUCUAUCAUCUGAUGUGUGAACGCUACAAGAGGUUCUGAAAGUAGGAGACAGGUGGCUGAGUCCUGAUGUGAUCUGGAGAGGCAUCGCUACCAACCUUGGUCCAUGUCAAAAGCAAUAACAAAGGAAGGAGGAGUUUGGAGAUCCAGAG